UUCCCCUUCGGGGGACAAAGUGACAGGUGGUGCAUGGUUGUCGUCAGCUCGUGUCGUGAGAUGUUGGGUUAAGUCCCGCAACGAGCGCAACCCUUAAGCUUAGUUGCCAUCAUUAAGUUGGGCACUCUAAGUUGACUGCCGGUGACAAACCGGAGGAAGGUGGGGAUGACGUCAAAUCAUCAUGCCCCUUAUGAUUUGGGCUACACACGUGCUACAAUGGACAAUACAAAGGGCAGCGAAACCGUGAGGUCAAGCAAAUCCCAUAAAGUUGUUCUCAGUUCGGAUUGUAGUCUGCAACUCGACUACAUGAAGCUGGAAUCGCUAGUAAUCGUAGAUCAGCAUGCUACGGUGAAUACGUUCCCGGGUCUUGUACACACCGCCCGUCACACCACGAGAGUUUGUAACACCCGAAGCCGGUGGAGUAACCUUUUAGGAGCUAGCCGUCGAAGGUGGGACAAAUGAUUGGGGUGAAGUCGUAACAAGGUAGCCGUAUCGGAAGGUGCGGCUGGAUAACCUCCUUU
rnacentral:rRNA from 1 species